rnacentral:rRNA from 1 species
UACGAAGGGUGCAAGCGUUAAUCGGAAUUACUGGGCGUAAAGCGUGCGUAGACGGUUAUGUAAGUCAGGUGUGAAAGCCCCGGGCUCAACCUGGGAAUGGCAUUUGAGACUGCAUAGCUAGGGUGCGGAAGAGGGAAGCGGAAUUUCCGGUGUAGCGGUGAAAUGCGUAGAUAUCGGAAGGAACAUCAGUGGCGAAAGCGGCUUCCUGGUCCAGCACCGACGUUCAGGCACGAAAGCGUGGGGAGCAAACAGG